GAGAGAUGUGGGCUGGAUUUUUCUGUGCUGCAUACUUGUGCAGGGAAUAUUAGCCCUUAUGGGAGAGUAGUGUUCUGCUCUAAUAGUGUUGAAUGAGUAUUUAUAUUUAGUUAUUUCAUUUUUGUGCCUAGUUCUGGAUUUCCUAAUCUUCUUUAUUUUACCUUUGCUAUGUCCUGAAAUAAAUGUUUAUCUUGCUUUUCCAUUGCUCCUGAAUUACCUAAAAAUGUCAUGAAGAGCAAAGAGCAGAGACAGCUAAUCCUGAAAUGUGCUGGUGAGAUCCAGAGGAGAGAGAAAUAUAAAGUGGGGACAGAGGAACCAUUGUUGUCCAGUGGAAGCAAUAGUGCUUUUUUUUUUGUCUUUUUUUUUUUUUAAUUAGUAACAGUGAUGCAUCUGUGGUUCGCCCAAAUUUGCUCAUUUAAUAGAGUGUACAAACACAAAUACCUUUCCUUACAGAGAGUGCCCAAACUACUAGACUACUGAUGCUCUUGGAUUUGAGUGGUGUUUGUACAAAUCGUUAUCCAUGGCCUGCCAGCUUUACACUUCAUGCAUAAUGGAGCCACUAGUGAAAGAUUCAGCAAUGUUGAGAGCAAGCUCAGCCCACCCCUUAUCAGUGGGUUGUGAACUGGGAGGAAAGGUGUAUGUUCAUGACACACCUACAGUGACAAUUACCAGCUGUCACAAGGACGUUUAGAUGCAAUUUUUAGGCCAUGGAAAGGAAAGCAAGCUGUUUGCCUGCAUUAUACAGAACAAGAGUCAAACAGCUGGGUAAUCCCAGGAGCAGGAGGUGUCCUUCAUCUUUACAGCUGCUUCUGAUAUAACUUAGAUUGGAGCCAAGGGUGUAGGUUUGGGAUGGGAAAAAGUUUUAUUUCUCUUAUCUUCCUCUUCCCUUUCCCUCUCCCUCCCUCUCCCNNNNNNNNNNNNNNNNNNNNUGGCUACAGAACCAAAUAUGCAAAAAGUGGUAUGUGCCUAAUUUUAUUAGUAAGACCUUUCCUGACAAUUAUGGAAAAAGGAUGUUGCUCUAUAAUGAUACAGGUCUGCAGCACACAACACAUAUAUACAAUGCAGUCUGGUAUUUAAGAAACCACCAGUAGACACAACACUGAAACAUAUUUGAACAGCCUAGGUUAACAAGAAGCUGAAAAUCUGAUUGAAUUAUCGAUGUGCAUACAGAGCAAGAGCUGGGAGGAGAGCUGAUAAGAGGCUGGCAAGAAGGGGAUAAGACUCCAAGUCCUGCCCUCAUGUGGUUUUGUUUUGUGGCCAGAGCCCUGGCUCCUGUGAUAUGCCCAUCUCCAUGGACAAACAGGUGUUGCUACCUCUCCAAGCUCCUGGGCUUUGGAUUAUCAGGGGGCAUUUGCCUAAAUUCUCCAGAAGAGUCUCAGAAGAGCCAUCCUGCGCAGAAGACAUAGAACAAGAUUUAUUUAUUGAUUUUAAAGAAGUAUCUGAAAAUUAUGAUAGUAGGUAAUGGACAAAUUUAAAUUAAGAAAUUAAAUUGGGCUACUGAGGACACUAUAAUGUUAGAAUAAAUUGGGCAAGCAGUUGCUGUCUCA
ensembl:lncRNA